CUUUUCUACUCAUAAUCCUAUAAUGUGUAAAAAAAACCGUUCUCCUAGAGUGCAGAUAAAGAUCAAAUCAGAACCGUUCUAGUAAGCCUUCAAACUUCUCCUCCUUCUCUACUAUAGACCUCAUUCGCUGCUUUUAAAGGAAAAAAAAUUCACGUCCUUCAAACUUAUCCUCCUUCGAUCUUCUCUAAACUCAAACUUCUCCUUCAAUUUUUUUUUCAAACUCACCAUCGUCCUGAUCUUCUCCAGUUCCACCAUGUCCCGGUCUUCUCCCACGGCCAGGGUAGGGUUUCUUCUUCUUAUCAAUCGCAAUGGGUUAACAAAUUGAUUUCCUCUUCCAUCAACUUCGAUUAGCCAGAGUACAAAGUAGUUUUUGGUUGAUUCUUUAAUAUUCUUUCCCAUAUGUACUAUUGGUGAGAAUGAGAUUUGGUUGAGGAAAGGAGCCAUGGCGAAACAAUUGAAUUCAGAUUCAGUGUGUGUAAUUUCUCAAAUUCAAUUGAUGAGUAUGGUAUGCAUUAUUUCAACCUUCAUAUUGCAUAUGUAAUAGUAACGUACCACCAAUUGUAAAUUCAAUGCAGCUUAGUUCACAUAUGCAUUCAAGAAGAUAAAUGAAUAGCAUUCCUUAUAUCUACUGAUGAAUUUUCUGUAUGUAGAAGACAAAAUUUAACCCUGAACAAUUUUGUUUAUUUUGAAUAUCUUUAUAGUCUUCUGCAGGAAGUAUUAGAUAGCCUAAGUGGGGCCACCUUAAAAUUUUACUUAAGGCCAUUAAGCUUUGUGAGGAAGUAUUGAUAUCUACUGAUCCAACAAUUACAUAUCAAGCUUGUUCAAGACCAAAGAGCUAAAAUCCAAGCUUGUUUCUGCUACUUUGGAAGGCUCAUAGAAGCAGAUAAAUUAGCAUCCAAUGUGACCACUUUGAUUGGGAAUUUAAUGAGGCCAACUCCGUGUUGAUGCUGUUACUUGGAUUCAUCUAGAAAUAUAUGGUUGCAAACUCCUAUUGUCAAUUCACUUUUGGUAUUCCUGACUUGAAGAUUGAAAGCCAAAUAUGCAAGACGACCAAGUUAUAAUUUGAAGCAGAUAUUUAGGUUAUUAGACUACACUUAAUUAUGUGUAAGUAGAGUAGAUGGUGGUUGAAGUUAUGAAAUUUUUGAGAAUGUGGGAUUCCUAUAUAAUACUUAUUAAUGUGACUAGACCUCUCAGGUUGGGUUCAUCAUCGUUUUAAGUUUAUAAUCACUAGUAGUUAUGUGGAAUAUUUAAUACUUUUAGUAAGCAUGGGCAUAUAUAUAUAAGAGUUAUAAGGUAU